UACGGGGGGGGCAAGCGUUACUCGGAAUUAUUGGGCGUAAAGGGCGCGUAGGCGGUCGUGUGCGUCGAGGGUGAAAUCCCCGGGCUUAACCCGGGAGCUGCCUUCGAUACGGCACGGCUUGAGUCCGGGAGAGGGGAGCAGAAUUCCCAGUGUAGCGGUGAAAUGCGUAGAUAUUGGGAGGAAUACCGGUGGCGAAGGCGGCUCCCUGGACCGGUACUGACGCUGAGGCGCGAAAGCGUGGGUAGCAAACAGG
rnacentral:rRNA from 1 species